CGUGUUUGUUUUGUGUAACGUAUAUUGCUGUAUUAUUUAAAAAUUUAAAUUCCACCUUAGAGAACAAGAGAAGCAAGUGGCUGUGUGACAUGCUGUAGAUAAAGCUAACAGAGCAUAUGUGGGCUGAAGAUAGAUGGAAGGACCAAGGACACACUGACUACUCACGAGGAUCUGCAGAACAGUGUCAAUGACACCGAUGGGAGGGGUCGUCCUUCUGGUUACUGAUGUGAACGGCAGUGGCUCCAGUAUUUCACCAUUAAGCAUCCUGCUGGACUUGAUUUUACAUAGACCAUUUCCUUUGAGUUCGGAGAGAACGGCUCCCGUUUGUCUUCUGAGUUCUCGCUCCUCAAGGUGUGGUCCAGGGACCAGCAGGAUCAGCGUCACUGAGAGUUUGUUAGAAAUGUAAGUUCUUGGGCCCCAGCCCAGGCCCGCUGAGCCAGAAUCUGCGUUUUACCCAGAGCCCCAGCUGAUUUGUGUGCACAUUAAAAUUUGAGAAGUGCUGUAAAAUUCUAGCCGAAGAAGAAACCCUUUCCAAGUUUCCAGCGGCAAUGCAGACUUUCCCCGUUAUUAUACGAGUUUGAUUAUUCUAGUGUAAAUGUGGGAGGAGAAGUUUAAUGUGAGGCUUUUGCUCACCAUCUGGGAUCAGAACCCACAGGUUCUUUGUGGCAGGAUACGGGGAAGGGCAGUCGGCUACCGUGUGUGGUGACAUGAAACGAAAACGACAGCCCAAAGGUCAUCAAAAUCGCCACCAGGCAUCAUUAGACCAACAAGAAAGAAUCCUUCUGUUGCAUUUUGAAGGGCAGUGUGCGUUCCCCAGAGGGCUUUGCCCACACUCAUUUCUUUGACAAACUUAUGAAUGCCAGCUGGUACUUACAUGAAGGCCUGUUGUCCUGAGCUGAUGGAAGGGUAAUGAAGGGGUUCCGGCAGAGUGGUUUGAUGUCAGGCACACGUUUCCCUCUAUUCUUGCUAAGCAGAAGAAAGUUCUGCGCUCACUGAGGAAAUAGAUGUUCUGGGGGCCCCAGCACUGUGCCUGAGGGCCGCCUUCGCUGGGUGAGAUAUUCACAGAACUGAGUUAUAUGAGUGUUAUUAGCAUGUGGAAAGAUAAAUUCUUUUAAGGAAAAAAAUCAGUUGAAUAAUACCCAGUUCUCACCAGUCAUGGCAGGAUUGGCAGGG
rnacentral:lncRNA from 1 species